rnacentral:rRNA from 1 species
GACGAGGGGUCCUAGCGUUGUUCGGAAUCAUUGGGCGUAAAGCGUGUGUAGGCUGCUAUGUAAGUCAGGUGUGAAAUCCCCGGGCUCAACCCGGGAAGUGCAUUUGAUACUGCGUAGCUUGAGUAUUGGAGAGGGUAGUGGAAUUCCUGGUGUAGUGGUGAAAUACGUAGAUAUCAGGAGGAACACCGGUGGCGAAGGCGGCUACCUGGCCAAAUACUGACGCUGAGACACGAAAGCGUGGGGAGCAAAC